ensembl:lncRNA
CUUGUGCUGCUCAGACCUCCCUGUCUCUGCCAGCCCCCCACCAACACAGCUACCCUGGCAAGGGAGGGCUGCCAUUGAAUAUUGAUGGUGUUUGAACUCAUUAAGCAGCGGAAGCAAAGCUGAAUGAGUCUCAGAAGUGUUGAACUCCUUCCUCAAACUCUGUUCCUGCCUGUAAGACCAGGUGUUUACAUGUGUGAUGAUUCUGCUUCCCCACACAUCCCCCUGGGAGACCUCUUUAUUGAAGAACAGAUGCUUGGCUUCCUGCUAAAAUUUCAAUACUGUAAACAUCCCGAGGGCGAGGAGAAAGUGUCCCUGCAGACCCCCCUGCACUCCUCUGGUCCUCUGCCCAGCACACAAGCAAGCAGAAACAGUCGAUCAAUAUGUGACAGAAUUAAAGACCUGCAGUAAAACCUUGGAGCUGAGGAUAUGUGAGAAUUCGGAACACAGACUAAUCUGUGAAAUUCUGCAUAUGGCACUAGCACACCAGGAAAGACCAGCAUAUGUACAAGAGCCAGAAGCUGCAAGAGAACAAGUCUGCUGGGCAAGAAGGCUUCUCUGCCCACCCAGAGGAACACCCACUGCAGAGGAGAACUCAUCACUGGCAAUGGAUAUGCAGCAGCUACAGAAAGCAGGAGUAUUUCCCAGAAAACUCAAAGUUACAACAAACGUGGCCCUAAGCCAUAUCCUUGUAAAAGCCUGUGAAAAUGUGAUUCCAAAUGUGUAUUCAUAAAAGCUGCAGCCAUAGCCGUGGCUCUGGAGGAUUUUGGGCCAGUAAGAGCAUCUCAUAGCAUUGACAGUCUGAAGUGGUAAAAACAGCCAAGAGGUGCCACUCCAUGAGUGUGCCACAGCUAACUUCGGGAAAAUGACAAUUCCAAGGCAGGUUAGUAGGAUGGUAUGUCUGGAAAAAGGAAAUGCAGGCAUACAACAUCUAAACAGGUGACUACUUAAUUAUGUGUUCAAGGGAGGUGAUGGACUGUGUUUGAAUCUAUUCUAAAAAUAUCUAUACUGGACUGUGUGAAAUGUAGUAGGGAAGACACAAGUAUGCAGUUUGGAAAUGUUAGUAUUUUUUAAAAGUUAGGAUCAUUCUUUGGAUCCUGGUAAUUGAGUGAACAUAGGAGCCCCACUGAUGCACUUACAGCAUGUCUUUGGCAGGUUCAGGUUCCUGCAGCUGCACUUUGGAAAAGCUGUAAAACCCUGUCAGAUACUCACAGAAGCGUGCUAGUCACAACAGCAGGACAAUAAAUGGCACAAGGAAAGUGUAGCUUUAAAAUCAUUUGCAGUGGGACUGCCACAGGAUGAAAGAAGCCAGGGAACUGACUGCAUGUGCACAUAUAUUGCCAGUUAAUUUAACAGUGGUGGUGGCUGAGCAGGAUUUGAGUCAGAGGGAACAGGGCAUGAUGAAAGAUAAGCAGAGCUGGGGCUGAGGCUGCACCUCCUAGAAGUGGGCACUAAACCAAUGCCCUUGGGCACAGGAGGGCUUUGCAUAUCCUUCCCAGCCACAUUAUGGGGAUCUUCCCAGCCCAGACUGCAAAUCCUUCCCAGUGCUGGAUUCAGCACUGGUGUACUCCAGCAGUGCUCACAUCACUCUUCCUUUCUGGGAUGUGAGUCCAAAGACCAUCCUAGUUACAGAAAUAAACAAUUGUUUUCCAG